UUUAAUAAACUAAAAUUAAGUAGUAAAGAAUUUUCCAAAACUUAAAGAAUUUGGCGGUACUUCAACCUUAUCAGAGGAACCUGCUCAUUAAUCGACACCACACGACAAUUUCACCUAAUUCUUAAAGCCUGUAUAUCGUCGUAUUAAUUAUAUUUAUAGAUUAUAAUUUAAAAUAAAAAUUUUACAAACAUCAGAUCAAGGUUCAGCUAAUAGAUAGGUUAGAGUGGGUUACAAUAUUACUAAAAUAUAACGAAAUUUUCAAUGGAAAAAAAAAGUAAGGCGGAUUUGAAAGUAAGAUAAGAAAUUAAGCUAAUCUGAAUUAGUAAUGAAGCAUGC
rnacentral:rRNA from 1 species